rnacentral:lncRNA from 1 species
ACUUCCUUGAGUUAAGUACAAACUGGUCCUUAAAGGAUAGAAACAAUGGAUGUAUUUGUUUGUUUUGUACAAAACAGGGAAGUUGUGGAUUACUUUUAUUACUGAAUAUCAUUUCUGCUCACCUGAUAUAUUGAUAUUGACACUAAACAAAACGGACAGGUAAUUUGUUUACUUUAUACCUGUACAUUUUACCCUGGUCAAAGUUGGUUUAUAGGACAAAAAGCACAUGGUAAAACUUUCUUGAUUUUAGAUGCCUUUCUAUGUCCAAUUCAUAUUUUUGUCAUACCCUGAACCAUUUAAAUUUCUCAAAAGGUCACUUUCUGUAAUUCAGUCAAAUUUUUAUAUUUUUUCAAGGUGAAUUAAAUAGUUUUAAAGAGAGCAAACAUUUUCUUUCUUUAUUACAGUAUGAAAUUCAAUCUAAUGUAUUUUAUUGUUCAAACAUCACGAUCAACAUAAAUUUAAAUAAAGCAAAGCCCAUUCAAUUCCUUUCCCAUUUAACAUGAAUUGAAUAAUCCGAUACCAUCUAAUAUAUUUCUGAUAAUUAAUAGAUCAUUCAAUAUUGCAGAGUUACUGAAUAAGACAUGUAUGUCAUAUAAAUCUUUAGCAUUUCUUAUGCUAUUGAAAGAUUAUAUAGAUAUAAUAGCAAUGUCCUAAAAAUAAUUGCAUUUUGUAAAAAGGCCGGCCUGUAAUGACAUUGCACAGCUCUUUACUUGUUUCUGCUCUUUGAUUAACUGCAUAGCCAAUACAUGUUUUUUUUUCAUGUAAUUAUUUAAACACUGUAUCAUUUAAUUUAACAUAUAUACUUUAAACACAAGUUUUAGUUUGAAAUUAUACAUGUAGAACAUUUGUAACAAAAAAAUAAUUCUUGAAAUGCUUCAAAUAGAAAUUAGCUUUCUUCUGAAGGCUUUUAAAAAGCCUAUUGCAGAUUUUCUUUCAUAGAAAUGAAAAUAUGGAAUGAAAGUUCAUUCAACAACACAUUGAAAUCACUUUAGAUGGUCGUGUUAUACAAUUGAAUAGUUAAUAAAGAUAAGUUUUAAGUUUUUCCAUGGUGAAAGGGAGAUAAUUCAAUUCAUUGAAAUGUUAGGUAACUCAAUACAAUCUCAUUCAACUUUUGUUUACUAUUUCACUUACAGUAAUACAGCAAUGGUGGAUCAUUUAAUAAAAUUGAGUAUGACUUUGUGGAUAAGACUUAUAGUUACUCUGGUAAAUUAGUGGCGGAUCUAGAAAAAGAGGGGAAGGGCACUUGGAAAGCAUCAGUUAAUCCCUAUAUAAUCAACCAAAUUUUUCCAACAAAAGUUAGGUCCCAGACACUCUGGCCCCCUAGAUUUGCAGCUGAAUUAAUUAAAAAAUUUUCUCCAUUAACUGUGAGGUAAAUCAGUAAGUGUUGCCAAAUAUUUAUUUUACUAUUAAGUUUUGAGAUAUUGAGAUUUUAUUUGUCUGUUGAAUUGAGAUUUUGCAACCCCUCCUCUUUAUAUCUUUUUUAAAAAAUAUAUAAUAUACGAACCAACAGCAACUGUGAUAUGCCAUAUAAAAAUAUCAAGACUGUUGCAACCUUGUGGAUGAGACAAACGUUACUUUGAUAGGUUAUAAUGUAGACUGUUUUUAGCCUGUGGAUUAGACUUACAGUACUAGUUACUCUGAUAGGUCAUGUUAUAAUAUCGGGACUGUUGUGACCCUGUGGAUUAGACUUAGUUACUCUGAUAGGUCAUGUUAUAAUAUUGGGACUGUUGUGACCCUGUGGAUUAGACUUAGUUACUCUGAUAGGUCAUGUUAUAAUAUCUGGACUGUUGUGACCCUAUGGGUUAGACUUACAGUUACUCCGAUAGGUCAUGUUAUAAUAUCGAGACUGUUGUGACCCUGUAAAUUAGACUUACAGUUACUCUGAUAGGUCAUGUUAUAAUAUCGGGACUGUUGUGACUUUGUAAAUUAGACUUAGUUACUCUGAUAGGUCAUGUUAUAAUAUCAGGACUGUUGUGACUUUGUAAAUUAGACUUUGUUACUCUGAUAGGUCAUGUUAUAAUAUCGAGACCGUUGUGACCCUGGGGAUUAGACUAACACUUACACUGAUAGGUCAGGUUAUAAUAUCGGGACUGUUGUGACCCUGUGUAUUAGACUUAGUUACUCUGAUAGGUCAUGUUAUAAUAUCUGGACUGUUGUGACCCUAUGGGUUAGACUUACAGUUACUCUGAUAGGUCAUGUUAUAAUAUCUGAACUGUUGUGACCCUGUGAAUUAGAUUUAGUUACUCUAAUAGGUCAUGUUAUAAUAUUGAGACUGUUGUGACCCCGUGAAUAAGACUUAGUUACUCUGAUAGGUCAUGUUAUAAUAUCUGGACUGUUGUGACCCUAUGGAUUAGACUUACAGUUACUCUGAUAGGUCAUGUUAUAAUAUCUGGACUGUUGUGACCCUGUGGAUCAGACCUACAGUUACUCUGAUAGGUCAUGUUAUAAUAUUGGGACUGUUGUGACGCUGUGGAUUAAACUUACCGUUACUCUGGUAGGUCAUGUUAUAAUAUUUGGAUUGUUGUGACCCUGUGUAUUAGACUUACAGUUACUCUGAUAGGUCAUGUUAUAAUAAUGGGACUGUUGUGACCCUGUGGAUGAGACUUACAGUUACUCUGAUAGGUCAUGUUAUAAUAUCUGGACUGUUGUGACCCUGUGAAUUAGACUUACAGUUACUCUAAUAGGUCUUGUUAUAAUAUCAAAACUGUUGUGACCCUGUAAAUUAGACUUACAGUUACUCUGAUAGGUCAUGUUAUAACAUUGGGACUGUUGUGACGCUGCGGAUUAAACUUACUAUUACUCUGGUAGGUCAUGUUAUAAUAUUUGGACUGUUGUGACCCUGUGGAUUAGGCUUACAGUUACUCUGAUAGGUCAUGUUACAAUAUCGGGACUGUUGUGACCCUGUGUACUAGACUUACAGUUACUCUGAUAGGGCAUGUUAUAAUAUCGGGACUGUUAUGACGCUGUGGAUUACACUUACAGUUACUCUGAUAGUCAUGAUAUAAUAAUGGUACUGUUGUGACCCUGUGGAUUAGACUUACAGUUACUCAGAUAGGACUUUGCUGAUUACACUUACAGUUACUCUGAUAGGUCAUGUUAUAAUAUCGGGACUGUUGUGACUUUGUAGAUGAUUUAGAAGUCUUCCUGUCCAUGUCUUCAUCAGAUCUGUGAUCCUCAUCCUAUAACAUUGGUUCUCUCAUGUUUUCUAUAAUCUGUAAUCAAAUUUGUACAAAUUUUUACCCAGUAUUUGUAACCAUCUAUUUUUUUUUCUUGAAUGAAUAUUUUUGAUAUUCCAUGACUGAAAGAUAUAUGCUGUUUGCAGCCAAUUUUGCCUAUUGCUGUCUAUUAUUGAAAACAUUGCUUCAUUGGUACAUGUACAUGCUUAUUUCAAAGUAACUAAAAUAUUUGUAUUGGUAUUUUACAUUCAUUAAAUAUCAAGACAGAACUGAUGAUGUACCUCUGAUAUUGGACACCUAACUCUUGAAAUACCCACGUUAAUUAAUAGCCAUAUUUCAUUGGAAAACUUUGUUUCGGUAAAAUUUGAGUAAAUGGAUAUACAUGCAUCAUGUUCAAACAAAUGUGAGAAAAUGUUAAUAAUCUAUGAGUUAUGGGAGUAAUUAAUAUCACAGAUUUUUGCAACAUGAUGAAAGUCAACUAAAUUCCAUCAAAGUGAACAAAUUUGUAAUUGAAUUAUAAUCUGAAGUUAUUAGUUCCACAAGCAAAAUAAAAGCUGCUGAUUGUUAACAUAAAACAAGAUAACGAGGGGAAAGGCAUCCAUUUUAAAUGUUAUUCAACACAAUUAACACAAAGAGGGUCAAUUAAUAAUAAUGACAUGCAAGAUAUGAACACACAAAUUUUGAGUUAUCCCCCUUUCUACAUAGUGACAGAUUUAAAAGACAUUUAUUUUCAUUUAUACCAUACGUUAUUUUUGACAGUUUAGACUCUAGAUAUUCUGAGAGUGUUAUUGAAUUACAUAUCCUAAAUAUUUAAAGAGAUGUCCUUCAUAUUUAUAGUGAUGGAGCCAUUCAUCCUAUGAAAUACAAAACAUUAUUUUGCAAUUCAAUUUCAAGUUUUUAAAAGUAAUGGAAAAUAAAUAUGAUUAAUUCCACAAAUCUUAAAUAACACACACUUAAUAAAUCUAAAAAUACUCUGUACAACUUUCCCAUUAAUUUUGUUUUCAAUUACAUAUACAUACCACAGAAUUAAUUUAUACAUUUGUUCCUAUACAGGGUGUUAAUUUUUUUAAUUUCAGUUACAAUUAAUUUUACUUAAUCUUCUAGAUAAAAAGCCAUUUUAGUAGCUGGCAAUUAACCACAAAUUAAGUGGCAACAUGUUUACGCAUUAUCUUUUAACUAUCUACCUAUCAAUACUAUCAGCAUGAACUGGAGCCAAUUUUAGAAUUGUUUUGCAAUAGAAUUAUCUCUACAACUGAUAAAACUUUAUCAACAAUGUAUUUUGUCUAAAAACUGUACAUAUCUAUCAGAAUGUAUUAUUCAUUAAUCUUGAUAAAGCACAUAAAUCUUUUCUUUUAAUUUAUCAAGAACAGAUGUGAAUUGUCUCGGAGCAUUCCAGACAAGUGCAUGUUAACAAAUGUCAGGCCCCUUCAAAUAUUUUUAGCUAACAAAUGCCACUGAAAUAUUUACGCAUAGCAAAUACAGUUUUUACCCUCAUUGAGUAGCAAGCACAGGAAAAAAUGUAUUUUGCCUUCAGCCUUCAAAUGUUUUUAGCUAACAAAUGCCAAUAUUUACUGCAUAGCAUCCCCAAAAUUUUCCAAAGUUCUAUACAGUUUUUACUCUCAUUGAAUAGCAAGCACAGGACGUUGCCUUCAAAUACAAUGUAUAUAUGCAUCUCACAAUCAUUUAAAUGAUCAGACUUUCGUGACAAUUAAAUGAACCUCACUUAUACAAAGUUAUUAAGUAGGAUCCACUUCAAAACAGAUUUCAAAAUAAGUGCAAAUUUCCUGCAUUCUGUCAUUGUUAUUGUGAACACUACCAUUUAAACUAGGCUAUAGCAAAUCUUUGAAUCAACCUCUCCUCAGUCUGACUGUGAAUCAAAUUCUGACUGGCCUAGUUAUAUCCCAUGUUUAUAUUCAAAAAGGGUCAUAAGAAAACAUAGACGAAACAUUUCUCUUACACACGAAAUGAAAAUCAAAAAAACUUUGCAAUAUAUAUAAAUAACUUCUGCUUACACUAAUUAACUAUUUUUUCAGCUAGAUGACACAUUUCUCUUACACACGAAAUGAAAAUCAAAAAAACUUUGCAAUAUAUAAAUAACUUCUGCUUACACUAAUUAACUAUUUUUUCAGCAAUUAUAUAUACAUGUCACAUUUUAAAAUAUUAUGAUUUGUUUUCAAAUAAAAGAAUACACUUAUUUUCUCGGUUGUCAUGUUAUUAUUAGUACAAUGAUAAUUUGUUGACCUUGAAACAAUUUUAAAAGCAAUCAAAAUAACAAGACAUUGAGUUAUAUGAUUGUAGGUCACCAUGUAUAAGCUGUAUUUAUUUACAACUGUAAAACUUUAAUAACCUACAUACAUGUGACUAAAGAAUUAUGAAUAAACUAUUAUACUUUCUCUAACAAAAGUCUAAAUCAAAAAGCAUAACUUUAAAGUCUGAAUUACAUUUACAUCUAGUGGUAGCCAUAUAUAUCUAUAUCAAAGUGGAGUACUUUGUUUUUUUAUUAGCUUUAACAAAAUGCAAUUGGAGGGACAUGCACUCUAAUAAUAGGAUAGAAUAUGAAUUUCAUUUUAGGACAUUUUUUUUUCAAAACAUGUACAUGUACCCUUAGCUUUUUGUAAAGAUUUUGCAACUCUUAGGAAAAGUUAAACAGGAAAGGUUAUAAUAAUAGUUUUCACCAUUUUUUUUUUAUAUUUUUUUUAUUUUUCAGGAAGAUGUCCAGUGGUAGUUAACUGAAUCUGUUGCUUUAUUCUAAGAGCUUCCUCUUCAUGUAUCAUGUUAUGUUCCGCAUGUUCAGCAGGGCCGGCGGAUCCAGCCAUUUUCAAAAGUGAAAGGGGGAUUCCAACAACAUGUCCCCACUUAAAUGGAUUGAUCGUCCAAAAAAUAAGGGGGGGGGUCCAACCCCAGGACACCACCACCCCCCUGGAUUAUCCACUGUUCAUGUACAAAUAUAUGUCAUUAGUUAAUAGUAUGCAAUAGUCCAUUUGCCAAUUCCCGUAAUUGACCCUGUAAUUAGAGACCUUAUUUAUAGUUGUCUCCCUUAUCAUGCUUAUGAGGGACAUUAAUUAAUAUUAACAAAGGAGAGCUAGCAGAAAGAGUAAAUUUACCUGUGUGGAAUUGAGUAAUCUUUAAUGUUUUAAAAUCUUUUAAUUACAUUAAUUUGUUAUUUGGCUGAAUACUUACAACAUCAGAAAUUAUUUUAAUGAAAAAUUAGUUAAACUGCCGAUACAUCAUUUUCAAUUCAUCAUACUUUGCAUUGGCAAAAGCUAAUAUUGUCCGGUAUAGAACCAGUCUAAGAUUGACAAAGGGAAGUAACUUGUUUAUAAAGUGUGUAAUAACAAAAUCAAAUCGGUAAUUGGCAAAUGGACUAUUAAUUGUUUAGUCAAGUCUUAAAAGGCUAUUAUAUUAUUUUUCUUUGACGCCUGCAGGAAAGCUUUAAAGCAAAAAUUUAAAAAAAAUUAUUUUGUUGCGUUUAUUUUUGUUGAGAUGACUUUUCUGGCAGUUAACAUCUAAUUGAUAUAUAUAUUGAAAAGACAGCUUGAAUAUAUCUGUACUCCAGGUACAUACAUGUAUAUAUUGACGUUACUGUUCCCAGAUACAAAUGGAUCACAUACCUACCGUAAUACCAUUUUUGAAGCGAAAUAGGACUAAUAAUUUAGUAAUUAACAGUUUUUGACCUGUUCUAGAAAAGAUUGCAAUUAUUUGGAGGAUAAAAACAGAAAUAUUUCAAUAGACAAUAUACUAUAUGGAAGUUAAGUAAAUUAUUCAUCGUUAAAGUCAUGAUAUGAAUCAUAGUAGCAUUAGUUCCAGCAUCAAACAUGCAUAUACUGUAGUAUCGAAAAUGCAACUUCAAGCAAAGCAAAUGUAAAUCGAAAAUCGGGUUUUCAAGCCCAAAAGACUUACUUUGAACAAUCCUAGAUUUCACAGCAAUGUAUCAUAUGUUCCUUUUCUUAAAUUAUGCAUAUGUUACCAGAAAAUUGUUCUAAAAAUAACAAAAGAUCUACGAUAAUAAAUUAGUCAUUCUUCUCAAUAUGCAUUAUUGUCUGUAGCUAGCAAUGAAGAGCUAAAACAAGGGCGAUAAUUUGGUGGGAAAUUUAAAAUGAUUCAAUCUGCAGCAUAAAAAUUUCUUAUCCAAUCUUAAAAGAUUUUUAAUGAAAAUUCUACAAAAGACAUUUAAAAAAACACAUAAAAAAUACGUACCUAUUUAUAACACUCGGUUAUGAAACACUAUUUCGGACAGCCGGCAUUAUGUUUUUUAAUUACAGGUGGUACAAUUUUUAGAAAAAAUAAAACAGGAGAGAUACACUUAAAACAGAACAAAAAGAUAGUUGAGUACGAAGUCUUGCUGCCUCUUAGCUAAAUUUUUGUUUGAUACAUAUACCCAAGGAUUUGUAUAUUGAUACUUUUUUUAAUAGUAUAUUGAAAAAAAUGCAUAUGAUAUUAAGAUUUUAACAUAUUUUUUUCCAAAUAUAUUUUUUUCGAUAUCAAAAAAAACAUUUGUGUUUGAUCAGCUUAA